rnacentral:lncRNA from 1 species
GAUAUCUGCUACGACAGUUACACGAAAAAAGAUAUCUGCUACGUCGCCUUAUGAUUCCAACGUCGUCGCAACAUUAACAUCAGUUUUUCAAUUAAUAGUUAUAGUUAAGGGUUAAUUUGCUGAAUAACCAACUUUGGCAUCAAAAUUAAGUGAGUAGCAUUGAUUUUGACGUAAUGUAAUAUCUAUCAUUUAUGCCAAUUGUUAUCCGGUUCUGCCCCUUCUUCCUGUAAUCAUCCGGUAAUAUUGUAUUGCUAGAUAUGACUUGGUCAAAAUAACGUAGGGUAAAGAUUAAAUUAAAUACUACUUUAUUUGAUAUAAACACAUGCAGCCACGUACCAAUUUAAUCCACCCAAAAUUUUCUUAUUGCUGGUCAAUAAUGAAUCACUAUUAUUUACAAACACAUCACGUAAAAGAACUCAUGUCACAAAUUUACUUAUAACAUAUUUAUUUACUAUAUGAAGUAGAAUGAGCGGAUAGAAACAUAAUUUAAAAAAAAAAAAAAAGUGUAUAAACCCUAAACCCAAAAAAACAUAAAUUU